CGUAGCGCCGAUGGUAGUGUGGGGUCUCCCCAUGUGAGAGUAGGGAAUCGCCAGGC
rnacentral:rRNA from 1 species